rnacentral:ncRNA from 1 species
AGAAACCCUGAGAAGGGGAAAAGUAAUUUAGACCUGUUCUUUCAGAGAGCCGGUGGGUGGUGCGAACCGGUAGAGGGUUUAAGUGAAUUCCUCCCCGGAGGGGAUCCGCCGAAACACAGCGAGAUAGACAUAAGAGCUGCACAGUAGGUGGAUACGGGAAGACACCCGUUAUAACAAAUGAGUGGGUCAGAAUUUUUUCUGGCCAACAAGGGUGGCAACGCGGGAGAAUAACCUCUCGUCCCUAAU